rnacentral:rRNA from 1 species
AACGAACGCUGGCGGCAUGCCUAACACAUGCAAGUCGAACGGGAUCCAGGCUUCGGCCUGGUGAGAGUGGCGGACGGGUGAGUAACACGUGGGAACCUGCCUUUUGGUUCGGGAUAACCGCGGGAAACUGCGGCUAAUACCGAAUGCUCCCGAGAGGGGAAAGAUUUAUCGCCAGAAGAGGGGCCCGCGUCCGAUUAGGUAGUUGGUGGGGUAAUGGCCUACCAAGCCGACGAUCGGUAGCUGGUCUGAGAGGAUGAUCAGCCACACUGGGACUGAGAUACGGCCCAGACUCCUACGGGAGGCAGCAGUGGGGAAUAUUGGACAAUGGGGGCAACCCUGAUCCAGCAAUGCCGCGUGAGUGAUGAAGGCCUUAGGGUUGUAAAGCUCUUUUGCCAGGGAAGAUGAUGACUGUACCUGGAGAAUAAGCCCCGGCUAACUUCGUG